rnacentral:tRNA from 38 species
GGGUGAUUAGCUCAGUUGGGAGAGCACCUCCCUUACAAGGAGGGGGUCACUGGUUCGAACCCGGUAUCACCCACCA